AGGUAUGCAUCUUGAUCAUAGGUCUUUAUUUCUUUCCACUAAAAUCAGUUUAUAUUAAUUUCAGCAUAUGAACUAGAUCCAUAGGUACUUUCAUAUGAUAAAUGCAGAUUUAGAUUAAAAUUAUUUUAAUCUAAUUUUUUACUGUAUUUUAGAUUUAAAAAAUUAUUUUGAAAUCCACAUGCACUAGCACCUGUAGAAAUCCAAUAAUGGUAUCUGUAGGGUUCG
rnacentral:lncRNA from 1 species